UACGGAGGGAGCUAGCGUUGUUCGGAUAUACUGGGCGUAAAGCGCACGUAGGCGGCGCAGCAAGUCAGGGGUGAAAUCCCGGAGCUCAACUCCGGAACUGCCUUUGAAACUGCAGUGCUAGAAUCCUGGAGAGGCGAGUGGAAGUUCCGAGUGUAGAGGUGAAAUUCGUAGAUAUUCGGAAGAACACCAGUGGCGAAGGCGACUCGCUGGACAGGUAUUGACGCUGAGGUGCGAAAAGCGUGGGGGAGCAA
rnacentral:rRNA from 1 species